AUACGGAGGGUGCAAGCGUUACUCGGAAUCACUGGGCGUAAAGCGCGCGCAGGCGGUCUUUUAAGUUGGAUGUGAAAGCCUACGGCUCAACCGUAGAACUGCAUCCAAAACUAUUAGGCUAGAGUGUGGGAGAGGAAGAUGGAAUUAGUUGUGUAGGGGUAAAAUCCGUAGAGAUAACUAGGAAUACCAAAAGCGAAGGCAAUCUUCUGGAACACUACUGACGCUGAGGCGCGAAAGCGUGGGGAGCAAACAGGAUUAGAAACCCUAGUAGUCC
rnacentral:rRNA from 1 species